rnacentral:rRNA from 1 species
CGGCACGGGUGAGUAACACGUAUCCAACCUGCCGAUGACUCGGGGAUAGCCUUUCGAAAGAAAGAUUAAUACAAGAUGGCAUCAUGAGUCCGCAUGUUCACAUGAUUAAAGGUAUUCCGGUAGACGAUGGGGAUGCGUUCCAUUAGAUAGUAGGCGGGGUAACGGCCCACCUAGUCUUCGAUGGAUAGGGGUUCUGAGAGGAAGGUCCCCCACAUUGGAACUGAGACACGGUCCAA